AUUGAACGCUGGCGGCAGGCCUAACACAUGCAAGUCGAACGAGUGGCGGACGGGUGAGUAAUGUCUGGGAAACUGCCCGAUGGAGGGGGAUAACUACUGGAAACGGUAGCUAAUACCGCAUACCAUCGGAUGUGCCCAGAUGGGAUUAGCCAGAAGGUGGGAUAACGGCUCACCUAGGCGACGAGCCCUAGCUGGUCUGAGAGGAUGACCAGCCACACUGGAGCUGAGACACGGUCCAGACUCCUCCGGAGGGCGGCAGGGGGGAAUAUUGCACAAUGGGCGCAAGCCGGAUGCAGCCAUGCCGCGUGUAUGAAAAAGGCCUUCGGGUUGUAAAGUACUUUCAGCGAGGAGGCGUUACUCGCAGAAGAAGCACCGGCUAACUCCGUGCCAGCAGCCGCGGUAAUUC
rnacentral:rRNA from 1 species